GCCUGGGUGGCUCAGUCAGUUGAGCGUCCGACUUCGGCUCAGGUCAUAUUCUCGCAGUUUGUGGGCUCGAGUCCUGCAUCAGGCU
rnacentral:tRNA from 1 species